AAUAUUCUAGUCUUAUCGGUGGAUCACUCGGCUCGUGGAUCGAUGAAGAACGCAGCCAACUGCGAUACUUAGUGUGAACUGCAGAAACUUUGAACACAGAACUUUCGAAUGCACAUUGCGCCAUUGGAGUAAUAUCCUUUGCACGCCUGGUUCAGGGUCGUAA
rnacentral:rRNA from 1 species